GAUGAAAAACGUAGCGAAAUGCGAUAAGUAAUGUGAAUUGCAGAAUUCAGUGAAUCAUCGAGUUUUUGAACGCAUAUUGCGCCCUCUGGUAUUCCGGGGGGCAUGCCUGUUCGAGCGUCAUUAAAUAACCCUCAAGCAUAGCUUGGUGUUGGGCUUUUUUACGUCCUUGACUGGGAUGGGCCUAAAAAUUAGUGGCGAUGGCUUUUUUACUUUCAAGCGUAGUAAAUCUCGUCUUGCUAAAGAGGAAAAAGAUUUUUUUUCUGCCAAAAAUUUUAACAUUUAAAGUUGACCUCGGAUCAGGUAGGAUUACCCGCUGAACUUAAGCAUAUCAAUAAGCGGAGGA
rnacentral:misc_RNA from 1 species